UACGGGGGGAGCAAGCGUUGUUCGGAUUUACUGGGCGUAAAGGGCGCGUAGGCGGUCAGCACAAGUCAGUUGUGAAAUCUCCGGGCUUAACUCGGAAAAGUCAACUGAUACUGUGCGACUAGAGUGCGGAAGGGGCAACUGGAAUUCUCGGUGUAGCGGUGAAAUGCGUAGAUAUCGAGAGGAACACCUGCGGCGAAGGCGGGUUGCUGGGCCGACACUGACGCUGAUGCGCGAAAGCCAGGGGAGCGAACGGG
rnacentral:rRNA from 1 species